CGGCCCAGACUCCUACGGGAGGCAGCAGUGGGAAUAUUGCACAAUGGGCGGAAGCCUGAUGCAGCAACGCCGCGUGCGGGAUGACGGCCUUCGGGUUGUAAACCGCUUUCGCCUGUGACGAAGCGUGAGUGACGGUAAUGGGUAAAGAAGCACCGGCUAACUACGUGCCAGCAGCCGCGGUAAUACGUAGGGUGCGAGCGUUAAUCGGAAUUACUGGGCGUAAAGCGAGUGUAGGUGGCUCAUUAAGUCACAUGUGAAAUCCCCGGGCUUAACCUGGGAACUGCAUGUGAUACUGGUGGUGCUAGAAUAUGUGAGAGGGAAGUAGAAUUCCAGGUGUAGCGGUGAAAUGCGUAGAGAUCUGGAGGAAUACCGAUGGCGAAGGCAGCUUCCUGGCAUAAUAUUGACACUGAGAUUCGAAAGCGUGGGUAGCAAACAGGAUUAGAUACCCUGGUAGUCCACGCCGUAAAC
rnacentral:rRNA from 1 species